ensembl:lncRNA LINC02882 long intergenic non-protein coding RNA 2882
CCUUUCUUCAAGUCGCAUUGACGUAAGAAGAGUUGUAUUUUUAUAGAAAGAAAAUAUUUUGCCUAAUCGCCUUCAAAGGAGCCUUGUACACAAUCUCUAGAGGAGAGUGUGCACAGAGGAGAGAUCAUGUGAGGACACAGCGAGAAGACAAUCAUCUGUAAGCCAAGGAGAGAGGCCUCAGAAAAAAAUCCACCCUGCUAAGAGCUUGAUCUUGGACUUACAGCCUCCAGGACUUCAUCAUUGCCUAGAAUACCCUACUUCAAACAAUGAAACUCACUUUCAAUCUAUCAUCAUCUUUCACUCUUCAGUGAAACCCCAUGUAGCUUCCAGAUGUGGUUUCAGGAUUUCUCUAUAUUGUUGGAGAGAUACUCUGUUUUUCUACAAAUGGAAAGUUUGUGGCAUCCUUGACUCAAGCAAAUUUUUCAGCACCAUUUUUCAAGAGCGUGUGCUCACUUCACCUCUCUGUAUCGUGUUUUGAUGCUUGUCCUGGAAACCAACCAUGAGCUGUGAUGAAAUCCAGGCAACUGAGUUGUGUUUCAGCCCAAAGCAGCAAAUGGAAUCCAGCUUCAGGACCAUCAUCUGACAUAGGGGAAGAAGACUUACAUAGAAGGCCUAACCAGCACCCAAGAUCAUGGCUGGUGUCAGAGAAGGCUGAAUUGGGUACCAAGACAUUCCUUCUCUCCAGGUGGUAACAAGGACCCUCACAUGGUAUUAAUGAAGACCAAAUGUUUGAAUUUCUGCUUGACUUCUUCAAUUGUGAAAUCUGGAUCUAUGCAGAUUUGCUGCUUGUUGAACCUCUCAAAUACUGAAGGGAAGUUUCCUGGCGGUCUCUCGUCAUAUGCUGUUUACUAAAGGAAUAGUUUCCGAUCUGCUGUAAGAAGUACUAUGCUGUCCAUUUGUUCCAGGACCUUAUCCUCUGCAGGUAAGCAGUCUUAAUCUUGCAACCACAAAUGAGGCAGAUCAAAUCCUAAUUGUGAGUGCAUUUACUUUAGGCUUCUGUACAUUCAAAGUGAACCACUUAUGGCUUUUUCUCAAGUUGAUGAGCAAAGGUAAUUCUGCUAAGGUAAUGUGUGGGCACUGGUGUUUUCCUGGAUUCUAGAGAUUAUGCAGGGAGUCUCUUUUCCCUACCACACCCCAACCUCAUAUGUGCUUCUUCUAUAAGUCCCAGACUCCAAGUGGAUUAAGCUUUUUGCUACCUUGCUUUUUUUGGUAUUUAUCUUUUUACUUUUGGCAUUUAUCUUUUUACUUUUGGCAUUUAAAAUCUUUUUUAAAAAAUGUUUAAAUGGUGUAGUUAAUAUUUCAUCAAUAAUAUCUAUGAAUUAGAGUGGAUAAAGUAAAGUUGUUUUGCUCUUUUGGCCACAUAGACCCAGAAAUACAUACGUUUUAACAAAACAAGAGUAUACCAGGGUCUUUUAGCAUGCAAUAAUUCAGCAUAUAUACAUUUUUGUUCCGUUUACAUAGCGCUUUCACACAUGACUUUAGGAUUUGAAAAAAUAUAUUUUUGAGAUAUAUUAUUUUUAUUUUUGUGUGUAAUGCAUAUCCAACUCAUGAUUUGAAAGUUUUUAAAAAUUACACCAAUUUUCUUAAUCCAGUCUAUCAUUGUUGGACAUUUGGGUUGGUUCCAAGUCUUUGCUAUUGUGAAUAGUGCUGCAAUAAACAUACAUGUGCAUGUGUCUUUAUAGCAGCAUGAUUAAUAAUCCUUUGGGUAUAUACCCAGUAAUGGGAUGGCUGGGUCAAAUGGUAUUUCUAGUUCUAGAUCCCUGAGGAAUCUCCACACUGACUUCCACAAUGGUUGAACUAGUUUACAGUCCAACCAACAGUGUAAAAGUGUUCCUAUUUCUCCACAUCCUCUCCAGUAUAAUAAUAAUAAAAUUUAAAAAAUUACACCAAUUUGACAAAAACAGUCUUAUUUUCUACUGGUUUUACUGCAAAAGAAAAAAAACAUAAAAAUAUGUGAUUAAAGAAAGAGAACAUUAACGUAGAUAUAGACUAAUUAAACAAAGAAAUUUUGACCCAAUUAUUUCUUCUCAUUAAACUAUUUCAAGUCUGUUUUUGAGUAUUUGUUUAGAGCUCCUGUAAAAAGAACUCUCUAAUAAUAAGAUAAUAUAAAAAGUCAGUUGCACCUGGGCACGGUGGCUGACGCCUGUAGUCCCAGCAGUUUGGGAGGCCAAGGUGAGCGGAUCACCUGAGGUCAGGGGUUCAAGUCCAGCCUGGCCAACAUGGCGAAAAACAGUCUAUAGUA